GAUGAACGCUGGCGGCGUGCAUAACACAUUCAAGUCGAACGGAGCUAUCUGAAUUAAUCCUUCAGGAAGCGUAAGGGUAGCUUAGUGGCGGACGGGUGAGUAACGCGUGAGCAACCUGCCUCUGUAUAUGGGAUAACGUUUGGAAACGGACGCUAAUACCGUAUAACGCAUAGAUGUCGCAUGACGACUAUGCCAAAGAUUUAUUGUACAGAGAUGGGCUCGCGUCUGAUUAGGUAGUUGGUGAGGUAACGGCCCACCAAGCCGACGAUCAGUAGCCGGACUGAGAGGUUGAACGGCCACAUUGGAACUGAGAUACGGUCCAG
rnacentral:rRNA from 1 species